rnacentral:lncRNA from 1 species
UUUUAUAUCUACGUGGAUACAAAAAAAAAAUUGAAAAAUUAUAUUUUCCGAAAAAAUUGUUCCAAAGUGUGUUUGUAACCUCGAAAAAUUUAAAUCUUCACGGUUAAUCUUCUUCUUUAAGUAAAGUUCAAUUUCAUUUUCCAUUUGCUACCCAAAGAAUGUCGAAGAAUUAAACGUUCUCUAAAAAGUUCUGCGUUCAAGAAAAAGUAAAUGCGUUCUGCGGGACACUAACCAUUUUCCUUUGCAAUCAACGGCUAGAAUUGCAAAUUUUAGGUUAUAGCGUAUGACAUGACCAAUUUUUACAGAUUCAUACUUCAUUGAAGAUCAGAAAUUAAUAGAAAGCGGCACUUUGACUGCCACGCUGGACGCCACGGGAGUACUCAUGUAAUGGGAAAAUAAUAAUAAAUUGAUGACGUAAGACAACAUUCUUCCACAAUGGACCGAUUAUCUUAUUGGUGGUGACGGGUGACCACCGUGGCGCCUUGGUAGCAGUUGAUAUCGACAGAUGAUAACAAGGCUUCGUUUAUUUAAAACAAACCAUUCGCAUUCGUUGUUUCGUCGUAAGCAAAACGUGCAGAAUAUAUUGGUGAACGUGUAGAAGCAUUUGCUCAUGCUAUAUAUAACAGUAAGAUUACCACUCAAAGAUAUGGAUGCAAACACAGUGCACGGUUAGAUGCA